rnacentral:rRNA from 1 species
GUGGAACCUUCCGUAGUGGUACGUGAAUAACUUCCUGGGAAACCGGUUGCUAAUACCGUAUACGCCCUUCGGGGGAAAGAUUUAUCUGCCAUUAGAUGGGCCCAGGUUGGAUUAGCUAGUUAGUGGGGUAAGUGGCCACCAAGGGUACAUCCGACUGUCUGAGAGGAUGAAUCAGCCGGAUUUGGGACUGAGCCACGCUACAAAUCCAUACGGGAGGCAGGGGUAGGGAAUAUUGGACAUGGGCGAAAGCCUGAUCCAGCCAUGCCUGGUGAGUGACGAAGGCCUUUAGGGUGAAAGGUCUUUUGGCGGGAAGAUAAUGACGGUACCCGAGAUAGCUCCUGGCUAACUUCGUG